rnacentral:sRNA from 1 species
CGAGGGGUGAUAGGUGCGCUGAUUUGAUGUAUGAUCAAAUUAAUCCUAAGACCACUCUCUCAAAUAAGAGAUCGAUUGUAUUACUUUAGGGUCGAAUUCCACAAAGCUCUCAGAUCACACAAUAAACUAAGUUUUCGAAUUAAACUAAACCAAUAGAUUAUCAAUUAAAAGACAAGAAAGAAGAAAAUAUCAAGUUGUAAAUCAGAUAGAUAAAAAUUCAGACUUACGAUAUUCUCAAAAAAUAGAUGAUUAGUAGAUCUAAUAAUGGGUAGGAUGUUAUCGAAAAGUUCUUAGUCUAGUUUGAUGAAGAGGA